GUUAUCUGAACCUUCGGGGGACGAUAACGGCGUCGAGCGGCGGACGGGUGAGUAAUGCCUAGGAAAUUGCCCUGGUGUGGGGGAUAACCAUUGGAAACGAUGGCUAAUACCGCAUAAUACCUUCGGGUCAAAGAGGGGGACCUUCGGGCCUCUCGCGUCAGGAUAUGCCUAGGUGGGAUUAGCUAGUUGGUGAGGUAAUGGCUCACCAAGGCGACGAUCCCUAGCUGGUCUGAGAGGAUGAUCAGCCACACUGGAACUGAGACACGGUCCAGACUCCUACGGGAGGCAGCAGUGGGGAAUAUUGCACAAUGGGCGCAAGCCUGAUGCAGCCAUGCCGCGUGUGUGAAGAAGGCCUUCGGGUUGUAAAGCACUUUCAGUCGUGAGGAAGGUAGUGUAGUUAAUAGCUGCAUUAUUUGACGUUAGCGACAGAAGAAGCACCGGCUAACUCCGUGCCAGCAGCCGCGGUAAUACGGAGGGUGCGAGCGUUAAUCGGAAUUACUGGGCGUAAAGCGCAUGCAGGUGGUUUGUUAAGUCAGAUGUGAAAGCCCGGGGCUCAACCUCGGAAUAGCAUUUGAAACUGGCAGACUAGAGUACUGUAGAGGGGGGUAGAAUUUCAGGUGUAGCGGUGAAAUGCGUAGAGAUCUGAAGGAAUACCGGUGGCGAAGGCGGCCCCCUGGACAGAUACUGACACUCAGAUGCGAAAGCGUGGGGAGCAAACAGGAUUAGAUACCCUGGUAGUCCACGCCGUAAACGAUGUCUACUUGGAGGUUGUGGCCUUGAGCCGUGGCUUUCGGAGCUAACGCGUUAAGUAGACCGCCUGGGGAGUACGGUCGCAAGAUUAAAACUC
rnacentral:rRNA from 1 species